UACGGGGGGGGCAAGCGUUGUUCGGAAUUACUGGGCGUAAAGGGCUCGUAGGUGGCCAACUAAGUCAGACGUGAAAUCCCUCGGCUUAACCGGGGAACUGCGUCUGAUACUGGAUGGCUUGAGUUUGGGAGAGGGAUGCGGAAUUCCAGGUGUAGCGGUGAAAUGCGUAGAUAUCUGGAGGAACACCUGCGGUGUAGACGGCUUACUGGACCAUAACUGACGCUGAGGCACGAAAGCGUGGGUAGCAAACAGG
rnacentral:rRNA from 1 species